rnacentral:rRNA from 1 species
AAGUUUAAAAGCGUAUAUGGUGGAUGCCUUGGCAAUCAAAGACGAUGAAGGACGUGCUAAUCUGCGAAAAGCGUUGAUGUGCUGACUUGAAGCAUUUUAAAUCAACGAUCUCCUAAUGGGUAAACCCGAUGUUUACGGAUUAUUCAUUUUAUCCAAAUCUUCACUGAAUGAUACAAUCCAAACAUCAUCAUAAUAAUGUUAUUAUGAAGACAACCAGGAGAAUUGAAACAUCUUAGUAUCCUGAGGAAAAUAAAUCAAAUGAGAUUCUCUUAGUAGUGGCGAGCGAAAAGGGAAAAGUCCGAAAUUAUUAACAUUUAUAUAGUAGAAUGUACUGGAAAGUACAACGAUACAGAGUGAAAGUCUCGUAUAUGAAAAUAAAUGAAGAUAAAUCUUUAAGAUUACACAAAAAAAAAAAAAAACAAAAAAAUAAUUUCAUAGAGUAAAACGAGACACGUGAUAUCUUGUUUGAAGAAAGGGGGACCACCCUCUAAGACUAAAUACUCUUGAUUGACCGAUAGUGAACUAGUACCGUAAGGGAAAGGUGAAAAGAACCUCUGCAAGGGGAGUGAAAUAGAACCUGAAACCAUAUAUGUACAAGCAGUGGAAGCUAUUUUUUAAUUAGCAACUGCGUACCUUUUGUAUAAUGGGUCAGCGACUUGUAUAUUGUAGCGAGGUUAACUUUUUUAUAAGGAAGCCGUAGGGAAACCGAGUCUUAAUAAGGCAUUAGUUGCAGGAUACAGACCCGAAACCUGGUGAUCUAGCCAUGAGCAGGUUGAAAAUUAGUUAAAACUAAUUGGAGGACCGAACCGACUAAUGUUGCAAAAUUAGCGGAUGACUUGUGGUUAGGGGUGAAAGGCCAAUCAAACCAGGAGAUAGCUGGUUCUCCUCGAAAGCUAUUUAGGUAGCGCCUCAUAUAAUUUCAUCUUUAGGGGUAGAGCACUGUUCAGAUUAGGGAGCUAUACUAGCUUACCAAGUCGAUACAAACUCCGAAUACUAAAGAAUGUAAAUAUGGGAGACACACGUCGGGUGCUAAUAUCCGUCGUGGAAAGGGAAACAACCCAGACCGUCAGCUAAGGUCCCAAAAUUACAAUUAAGUGGAAAACGAUGUGAGAGGGCAUAAACAGCCAGGAUGUUGGCUUAGAAGCAGCCAUCAUUUAAAGAAAGCGUAAUAGCUCACUGGUCGAGUCAACUUGCGCGGAAGAUGUAACGGGGCUCAAAUUGUAUACCGAAGCUACGGCAACAAUUUUAUUAUUGUUGGGUAGAGGAGCGUUCUGUAAACCAUAGAAGAUAUAUUGGAAAAUAUAUUGGAGGUAUCAGAAGUGCGAAUGCUGACAUGAGUAACGAUAAAGCAGGUGAAAAACUUGCUCGCCGAAAGACUAAGGUUUCCUGUCCUACGUUAAUCGAGGCAGGGUAAGUCGAUAUCUAAGAUCAGGCCGAAAGGCGUAGUCGAUGAUUAACAGGUUAAAAUUCCUGUACUUAAUAUAGUUUUAAGAAGUGACGAAGAAGAUUAGGUUAUCCAAUAAUUGGUAAAUUGGUUUAAAUACCUAGGUGGAAUAUUAAUAAAUAUAAUAUUCAUAACAUCAACGUAUUAAAAUAAUGAAAUCGUAAAAUAACUGAUAUCAUACUUACGAGAAAAGCUUCUACGAACACUGUAUUAAAUCGUACCUAAACCGACACAGGUAGUCAGGUAGAGAAUACUAAGGCGUUUGAGAUAACUGAGGUGAAGGAACUAGGCAAAAUAGUGCCGUAACUUUGGAAUAAGGCACACUAGCAGUAGGUGAAUUAUUAGAUACUUAAUAACAAGCUGAUACUAGUUUAAAAUAAUGGCUGGCUGCAACUGUUUACUAAAAACAUAGCACUGUGCAAACACGAAAGUGGAAGUAUACGGUGUGACGCCUGCCCGGUGCCGGAAGGUUAAUUGAUGGAGUAACGAUUUUUAAAUUGAAGCUCUUGAUCGAAGCCCCGGUAAACGGCGGCCGUAACUAUAACGGUCCUAAGGUAGCGAAAUUCCUUGUCGGGUAAGUUCCGACCUGCACGAAUGGCGUAAUGAUGGCCAGACUGUCUCCACCUUAGACUCAGUGAAAUUGAAUUUGCUGUGAAGAUGCAGUAUACCCGCGACAAGACGGAAAGACCCCGUGAACCUUUACUAUAGCUUGAUACUGAUUAUAAAAAAUUAAUGUGUAGAAUAGGUGGUAAGCUUAGAAAUAUAGACGCCAGUUUAUAUGGAGCUAACCAUGAAAUACCACCCUUUAAUUUUUAAUUUUCUAAUCUUAUAUUUAAAACAAAUAUAGAGACAAUGUCUGGUGGAUAGUUUGACUGGGGCGGUCUCCUCCUGAAGAGUAACGGAGGAGUGCAAAGAUUGGCUAAUCACGGUCGGAAAUCGUGAGGUUAGUGCAAAGGCAUAAGCCAAUUUGACUGUAAGCAUGACAAUGCGAGCAGGUGCGAAAGCAGGUCUUAGUGAUCCGGUGGUUUCUAUGUGGAAAGGCCAUCGCUCAACGAAUAAAAGGUACUCCGGGGAUAACAGGCUAAUACCGCCCAAGAGCUCAUAUCGACGGCGGUGUUUGGCACCUCGAUGUCGGCUCAUCACAUCCUGGGGCUGAAGCAGGUCCCAAGGGUAUGGCUGUUCGCCAUUUAAAGUGGUACGCGAGCUGGGUUUAGAACGUCGUGAGACAGUUCGGUCCCUAUCUGUCGUGGGCGAAGGAGGAUUGAGAGGAUCUGCUUCUAGUACGAGAGGACCGAAGUGGACGUAUCUCUGGUGUUCGGGUUAUCAUACCAAUGGUAUUGCCCGGUAGCUAUAUACGGAAAAGAUAAGAGCUGAAAGCAUCUAAGCACGAAACUUACCUCAAGAUUAAUCAUCCCGAAACUAACAAUAGUUUCCUUAAGGGACGUUGAAGACUACAACGUUAAUAGGCUGGAUGUGUAAACAUAGUAAUAUGUGUAGCUAACCAGUACUAAUUAGGACCCGUGUGGCUUU